CUACCAUGUAAGUAAGAAAAACAUUUUCUCACUUUUGCAGGUAAGGACAUUGAAACGUAGAUGAAAUGAUUUACUAAAAGUCAAAAUUCAUAAAUGGUAGAGCUGGUAGUCUCACCAGGAUGUUUUCUAUUCCAUUCUUGCAUCAACCACCCACCUCCUUUCUUGGCCAUUAGUGGAAAGAAAGUAAUUCUUUUAUUUUGUUUAAAGAAGUUAUUUGUACAUAAAGACCUGUUGUUGAUGAUUCUGUUUUCUACUGAUGAUACAUUAUUUGAUAUGUAUUCUAUGUGCAUCUUCUGCUGGGCUUUCUUUUAAUAAUAAGCUUCUGGAAAUUUAGAAUAAAAACCUCACUCUAGAGCAUUGGCUUUCAGACUGUUCUGCCAUUGAACAUUUGUGUUGUAUAAGCUGAAUCAAGUUGGUCCACUGCCAAAUGGUAGUCUAUUCCCAGUUCUCCAGAAAAAUUAAGUUACUGGAUAUAAUUGUCUCAAUUUUAGUUUCUGCUUGUGUGUACCAGGAUCUAGUAUAUACAGAGUAUACACAAAAACAUAGUAUCUGGCACAAAAUUAUAUGCUUACUUUUCCCUUAUUGAAUAUAUCAAAAUUGAUGUUGUUCUGCAGAGAUGUCAGGGCUGUACUCCAGAGUGACUUUGAGAGCCUGUCCUAAAUGCAUCUGUGCUCUACCCUCAGAUUCCUCUGCCCCCUUUGUCCUCUACACUGCAGCUGGAACUGACAGCUUUGGAUGGCAUCAUUAUUAUUUGACAUUUAUUGGUAAAGGGUGUACCUCAGAUGUUUUUUAAGUUGCUUUCCUACUACUUUUUUUCUUUUCUUUUCUUUUCUUUUUUUUUGAGACAAGAGUCUCGCUCUGUUUGCCCAGGCUGGAGUGCAGUGAUGCCAUCUCGGCUCAUUGCAACCCCCUCCUCCCAAGGUUCAAGCGAUUCUCUUGCCUCAGGCUCCUGAGUAGCUGGGAUUACAGGCGUGCACCACCACGCCCAGCUAAUUUUUUUAUUUUUAAUAGAGAUGGGGUUUCACCAUGUUGGUCAGGCUGUUCUCAAACUCCUGACCACGUGAUCCACCCGCCUCAGUCUCCCAAAGUGCUGGGAUUACAGGUGUGAGCCACCGCACGUGGCCUCUUUUCUUUUCAAGUGCAAGGUCUUGCUCUUCACCUAGGCAGGUUAGAGUGCAGUGGCACAAUCGUAGCUCACUGCAGCCUUGAAUUCCUGGGCUCUAGCAGUCUUUCCACUACAGCCUCCCAAGUAGCUAGGACUAUAGGCAUGCAUCACCAUGCCUGGCUAGUUUUAAAGUUUUUUGUAGAGAUGGAGUUUCACUGUGUUGCCCAGGCUGGUCUCAAACUCUUAGCCUCAAGCAGCCCCCCACACCUUGGCCUCCCAGAGUACUGAGAUUAAAGACAUGAGCCACUGUGCCUGGCCUGCUACUCCUACAAUUGAUCUUUAUAUGUAGAAAAUUCCUUAGAAUAUCUUUAGUUUUGUAAUCUCAUUUGAGACACAGAUAAGUUGAAGGCAUCUUUUCAUACAGAGCCUCUGAACCCUUUGCUGAGUUUAAAAAAACCUCACUGCCUAUUAAUUGUGGUUGUUUUGUAGUUGAUACUGAUUUUUCUUCCCUACUGAUUCAGACUUUCUGCAGCAGAAGAGGCAGAUCUGCAUUUUUGUUCAGAGUUACUAGAAACACUUUAAUCAAUUGUUUCUGUUCCAGAGACCCUGUACUCUGUCCUCUGCUGUAUAAAACAAGGUUGAGGUAGAUGGAACUAAUUAGGGGGCUAUUUAAAGGCCAGAUUAUCUGUGUCAGCAGGUGGAGAGUGCAAAGCAUUGCUGCCAUACAAUAUCUGGCCCUUGAGGAGGCUUUCUAGAAUUUCCGGGGCUAGAGGUUAGGACCAGGACAGUCUCAGAGGACCAAUGGAAGAUAAGCUUCUUCAGAAGUAAAUUGUCAGCAAUGGCUCUAAGUCUUUUAAAGCAUAUUCCCUUCCUGGAAAUAUAAUCAUGGGGUGUUCCUGGGGAGCGUGGAAUUCUAUGAGUUUUUGAUUUGAGGUGUAGGCUGGGAGAGGAAUUACAUGGUUAGAAUUGUAUAAUUGGGUUGGUACCUAAAAAAACAGGAAGGAGAGGCCAGGUGCGGUGGUUCACGCCUGUAAUCCCGGUACUUUGGGAGGUCGAGACAGGCAGAUCACGAGGUCAAGAGCUCGAGACCAGCCUGGCCAACAUGGUGAAACCCCGUCUCUACUAAAAAUACAAAAAUUAGCUGGGUGUGGUGGCACGUGCCUGUAAUCCCAGCUACUCGGUAGGCUCAGUCAAGAGAAUCGCUUGAACCAG
rnacentral:lncRNA from 10 species